rnacentral:rRNA from 1 species
AUCGCACCAACCGGGAUUGCCUCAGUAACGGCGAGUGAAGCGGCAAGAGCUCAAAUUUGAAAUCUGGCCCCUCCCAGGGGUCCGAGUUGUAAUUUGGAGAGGAUGCUUCGGGUUCGGUCCCGGUUCAAGUGCCCUGGGACGGGCCGUCGGAGAGGGUGAGAAUCCCGUCUGCGACCGGUGACUGGGCCCGGGUGAAGCUCCCUCGACGAGUCGAGUUGUUUGGGAAUGCAGCUCUAAAUGGGUGGUAAAUUUCAUCUAAAGCUAAAUAUGGGCCGGAGACCGAUAGCGCACAAGUAGAGUGAUCGAAAGAUGAAAAGCACUUUGGAAAGAGAGUCAAACAGUACGUGAAAUUGUUGAAAGGGAAGCGCUUACGAUCAGACUCGCCCGGGGAGGUUCAGCCGGCACUUGUGCCGGUGCAUUCCUACCCGGGCGGGCCAGCGUCGGUUUGGACGGCCUGUCAAAGGCCGCCGGAAGGUAGCGCCCUUCGGGGCGUCUUAUAGCCGGGGGUGCCAUGCGGCCUGUCCGGACCGAGGAACGCGCUUUCGGGCUCGGACGCUGGCGUAAUGGUCGUAAGCGGCCCGUCUUGAAACACGGACCAAGGAGUCUAACAUCCACGCGAGUGUUCGGGUGUUCAAAACCCGUCCGCGCAGUGAAAGCGAACGGAGGUGGGAACCCCCCCGGGGUGCACCAUCGACCGAUCCUGAUGUCUUCGGAUGGAUUUGAGUAGGAGCGUGGCUGUUGGGACCCGAAAGAUGGUGAACUAUGCCUGAAUAGGGUGAAGCCAGAGGAAACUCUGGUGGAGGCUCGCAGCGGUUCUGACGUGCAAAUCGAUCGUCAAAUUUGGGUAUAGGGGCGAAAGACUAAUCGAACCAUCU